UACGUAGGGCGCAAGCGUUGUCCGGAAUUAUUGGGCGUAAAGAGCUCGUAGGCGGUCUGUUACGUCUGCUGUGAAAACCCAGGGCUUAACCCUGGGCUUGCAGUGGAUACGGGCAGACUAGAGGCAGGUAGGGGGAGAAUGGAAUUCCCGGUGUAGCGGUGAAAUGCGCAGAUAUCGGGAGGAACACCGGUGGCGAAGGCGGUUCUCUGGGCCUGACCUGACGGCUGAGGAGCGAAAGCGUGGGGAGCGAACAGG
rnacentral:rRNA from 1 species